AUGAUCUUGAAACAAGACAGGAAACAGAGAGAAUCCAGAGUACAGGCAAAUCUUUUUUUUUUUUUUGGCUGUCCCGUUUCGUUAUAUAAUAUAGUAUAUAAUAUGUAUAAUAAGUAUAAUAUGUUUAUUGCAAUUUUCAUGUUUUACAUUAUCAUUUGGAAAAAGUCAACUAAACAGUUUUGGGAUUUAAAGAUUCUUUUAUUGCUACGAUAUAAUCUGUCUUAUGAUAAAUGCAUUAAUAACAUGUUCUACAGUAUUAUUUUAUCAGUAAUAUUUCUUACAGGGUUCAUAUUGCAUUGAAUAUGUUUGUCAUCACAUUCAUUCUAUUCACAGGUAGAGUUCAUUUUAUACACAUUGCAUAUCUGUGCUUGUUUAGAGUUGAUGUUCCGUCCAAGAGGGUUUUAAGCUUCACUGGUGAGAGUGUCCAGGUGAUACAUGUUGAGGGAAGAUGAGAACAUAGCAGGUUAAUUGCAUGCAUGCUUACAAUACACAUAAAUCUAGUAGCAGGCCUGAGCGAAGGCCCAAGUGUCUUCUGCUUCUUAUUUGAGACCUGCGCCAAUUCAGUCUACUUAGAGAUUGAGGACGAGGGUCAAUUAUUAGCCCUUAGAGGCCCUGAAGCUUGAAGUUAUUACCUUAAAAGGAAGGUGUUAUCAAAAAGAGAAGUUAUAUGUCUGUUUAUAGUUAUUAGAGAUGUACAAGAUGUACCCUUGUCUGUAAACAAUGACUGUACACAAUGUAUUUUUGACCUGUAUUGACGUGUAUGUGGGGGUGUGAUCUUCUAUGCUAUAAAACCAGAACCCAGUGUAUUUUUAUCAGAGCAAAUAAGCCAUAUGCUGAUGAUUGUUCUCCGUUGUCAAUAAACUCAUCUUUUGAUUGCACUUUUCUGGAGCCUCCGUCGUUUGUUGUCUGAUCUGCAGUUGAUCGAUCUCGCUUCAACAGGAAACUGCCUCAGGCUACAAACAGUUAAAUAGCGUCUGGUGACCGGGCCUCAGGCCAUGGGGCCCUGUCGGGCACAGCCCGAAAAAGGGGCUUGGGCUCAUCUUCCUGCAGACCCACCGCCCGCCGGAGGGGCCGGGCAGUGGCCAGGAGGGGAGGUCCUGGUGGAUCGAACCUAUCAAGACUGGCAAUUGAGAAUAAACUUUUUUUUUUUUUUUUUAAUCACUGAAAAGACAUCUCUAGCAGUGUUUCUUUGACAUCCACUUUCACUUCAAGCUGGGAAUUGUGACACUGUGGCCAUCUCCCAAGAUGGCCACAUGGACUGAGUCUCUCAGUGUGCUGCCUGUCCUGUACACUGCAAAACUCUGAGGUUGUGGAGGGACCACCUAUGGAUUGAAAAUGUAAAUUAAUUAUGUUACUUCAGUUUUACUAGAAAAAAAUAAAAUAGCAAGCUUAAGGGUAGGUAAGAGAAGAUAUGAGUUAAAACGCUGUGAGAAAUAAAGAGUAAUAACAAAGUUCCUCUGACCUUUCCUCCCAGCUGAACAUGAUAAUGAACAAAACUCAAGGUCCUGAUAUCAUGAAGGUCCUGGUUCGGGGUCCUGGUGCAGCAUCUAAUGAAAAAUAACACACAACUUUAUUUUUGUUCCAUAUUAAUUCAUGAGUUUAUCAAUGAUGAAAUAGUAAAAGUUGAAUGGUUUCUGCAUUAUUAAAUCAGCUGAUUUUUAAAUUUGAUUAUUUAUUAUUAUUUCUGUUAUUAACCCUUUCAUGCAUGAAUUAUGACAAUCUCAAUCAGGAUUUUUCUCUUAAGAAUUUUCAUUCGUCUUUAGGCAUGAAAAGAUGAAUAAAAAUACUUACGAAAAAAAUACUGAUUGAGGUUGUCAUAAUUCAUGCAUGAAAGGGUUAAAUAACAAUAAUUACAAUGAAACGCAUCAUACAGCUAUAGUAACAUUAAACAACCAGUGGGUGGCAGGGUACGGAGUGACACAUCAGUAUCCAAUUUAGCGGUUUAUGUGCAACUAUACCAACACACUGACACAAAUACAAGAAAACAGCCUUUGAAUAUCUGUUCACUGUAGUGACCACUAUGCGUCAAAGGGUUAAUGUGAUUCCUAAUAGUUUGAUUUAAGAAUCAAAGAGUGGGAUUGUAGAGGAAUUUAUUUUAUUUAUGUAUUAUUCACAUUAUUUUAUUGUAUAAUGCUUUGAUGCCACUGGGUUUUAGCAUGUCUCAAUGCCUCACACCUUAUUCAUGCCAUUGAACAACCGGGUGAUUGUAUCUCAGGAAGUUGGGGGAAGCAGACAACUCCACAGGAAGAGUCUUUUGUCUCUUCAACAACUGUAAGAGGUAGCAAGGGAGUGUGAACCUUUCUUUGGGGGGAAGACCAAAGGUGUGAAACAGCUGUAAACUGCCUCAUGUUCCUGUAGGAAGUAUUUAAACCCAGGGCCAUGCGGGGCUCAGGUGGAGACUCUGCCGAUCGUCUUGUCCAGCGAUGAUGGCUUCUCUCACCAAGCUUGGGUUUUCGUUCUUUUUUAAUUAAAGGAUGUUGGCUAUCGCUCACCGUUUGUCUGCAGGCUUUAUUACAUGGAAACUUCCACAACACCUCCCUCUGAGCUUUGAGCUUUUAAGUUGAAAAAUGUCCAUGUCUCUGUGUAACUGGAAAACUCAUCAGCUCAGAGGUAACUGUAGAUGAAAUUGAGCCUCUCCAUAUACUAACUGCUCUGUUUGUUGUUUACAGUGAGCAGUGCCACCCAGUGGUUGAGAGCGCUGCCUAUAAAGACCAAAGAGGAUAAAAUAAGAAUUGGUGGUGACACUUAGAAAGAAAACAAAGCAGAAUAAUAUGAGAGUGUUAAAGAUGACAAAGAUCUUCUGACCUCGUCUCCUGACUUAGGGGGAAACUGAUCCUGGACUGGAUCCUGAUUCAGUGUCCUCA
ensembl:lncRNA